AGAGAGAGACAUGCGCGCAUAUCAUAAGCGGAGGAAAAGAAACUAACAAGGAUUCCCCUAGUAACGGCGAGUGAAGCGGGAAGAGCUCAAAUUUGAAAUCUUAAAGGGUUUCCCUUUACGAAUUGUAGUUUAAAGAAGUGUUUUCUGUUGAGGUUUUGGUAAAAGUUCUUUGGAAUAGGACAUCAUAGAGGGUGAGAAUCCCGUAUUUGACCUUUACUUUCAACUUUGUGAUACACUUUCAAAGAGUCGGAUUGUUUGGGAAUGCAGUCCAAAAUGGGUGGUAAAUUUCAUCUAAAGCUAAAUAUUGGCGAGAGACCGAUAGCGAACAAGUACCGUGAGGGAAAGAUGAAAAGAACUUUGAAAAGAGAGUUAAACAGUACGUGAAAUUGUCAAAAGGGAAGCGUUUGACACCAGUGUUGUUUUUCUGAAAAUCAAUUAAAGAACUGUUUAUGCUAAGCUGUUUAGACUUUAUCAGCUAACUGUUUAGUUUUGAGCUUUUCUUUAAUGCACUUUUCAGUUAACAAGUCAACAUCAAUUUCUUUUGCUGUAAAAAAGCUUGAGGAAGGUGGCUUGAGAUUCGUCUUAAGUGUUUAUAGCCUCUUGCCUAUGCAGUCGGAGAGAUUGAGGUCUGCAGCGUAGAUCCUUCGGGGCUAAAUGCAUUUGUGCUAAGUUAUAGCAUUUUAUAGACAACUUGUUGACUAUGAUUUGUCUUGUAGCUUACUCGCUUAUGUUAUUUUACCUACGCUUAGGAUGUUGACGCAUGAGAUAUACGC
rnacentral:rRNA from 1 species